rnacentral:rRNA from 1 species
GACGAACGCUGGCGGCGUGCCUAAUACAUGCAAGUCGAGCGGACAGGCGCGGAUCUUGCUGCUUUGAUGAUAGCCGCAGGCGUGAGAGUAACACGUGGAACAUCUACCUAUAAGUCUGAUAUAACUACGGGAAACCGGCGAAUAUACGAUAUAAUAUCUUGAACCGCAUGGUUGAAUAGUGAAAGACGGUCGUGGUGUAACGUAUAGAGGGAUCCGCGCUGCAUGAGCUAGUUGGUGAGGUAAAGGCCUACCAAGGCAAGGAUGCAUAGACGAGCGGAGAGGGGGAUCGGCCACAUGGGAACUGAGACACGGUCCAGACUCCUACGGGAGGCAGCAGUAGGGAAUCGUCCGCAAUGGGCGAAAGCCUGACGGAGCAACGCCGCGUGAGUGAUGAAGGUCUUCGGAUCGUAAAACUCUGUUAUUAGGGAAGAACAUAUGUGUAAGUAACUGUGCACAUCUUGACGGUACCUAAUCAGAAAGCCACGGCUAACUACGUG